UACGUAGGGGGCAAGCGUUGUCCGGAAUCAUUGGGCGUAAAGAGCGUGUAGGUGGCUCGGUAAGUCCGCUGUAAAAGUCCAGGGCUCAACCCUGGAAAGCCGGUGGAAACUGUCGAGCUAGAGUCCGGAAGAGGCGAGUGGAAUUCCUGGUGUAGCGGUGAAAUGCGCAGAUAUCAGGAGGAACACCAAUGGCGAAGGCAGCUCGCUGGGACGGUACUGACACUGAGACGCGAAAGCGUGGGGAGCGAACAGG
rnacentral:rRNA from 1 species